UCGGGAUAGAGUUGUGUAAUAGGGGGAUUCUGAGUCGUGGAUGUGUAGUGGGAAUUAGGGGAGAAUAUUAAGGGAUUUUAAGGGUUAUCGGGAUUUUAUUUUAUUUUUUCUCAUUACCGAAUUUGACUCUCUUUUCCAAAAAAAUUCUACCAUCUAUUCUUCUCCAUUUCCUCUUGUCUAAAUUCUCUGAGUUUUUCCAUCUUUCUUUUCUUUUUC
rnacentral:lncRNA from 1 species